CCUGACCUGCAUUCGAUACGGUCAAGCUAGAGUGUGGUAGGGGAGACUGGAAUUCCUGGUGUAGCGGUGGAAUGCGCAGAUAUCAGGAGGAACACCGAUGGCGAAGGCAGGUCUCUGGGCCAUUACUGACACUGAGGAGCGAAAGCGUGGGGAGCGAACAGGAUUAGAUACCCUGGUAGUCCACGCCGUAAACGGUGGGCGCUAGUUGUGCGAACCUUCCACGGUUUGUGCGACGCAGCUAACGCAUUAAGCGCCCCGCCUGGGGAGUACGAUCGCAAGAUUAAAACUCAAAGGAAUUGACGGGGCCCCGCACAAGCAGCGGAGCAUGCGGCUUAAUUCGACGCAACGCGAAGAACCUUACCAAGGCUUGACAUAUACAGGAAUACGGCAGAGAUGUCGUAGCCGCAAGGUCUGUAUACAGGUGGUGCAUGGUUGUCGUCAGCUCGUGUCGUGAGAUGUUGGGUUAAGUCCCGCAACGAGCGCAACCCUCGUUCUGUGUUGCCAGCAUUUAGUUGGGGACUCACAGGAGACUGCCGGGGUUAACUCGGAGGAAGGUGGGGAUGACGUCAAAUCAUCAUGCCCCUUAUGUCUUGGGCUGCACGCAUGCUACAAUGGCUGGUACAAACGGCUGCAAUACCGCAAGGUGGAGCGAAUCCGAGAAAGCCAGUCUCAGUUCGGAUUGGGGUCUGCAACUCGACCCCAUGAAGUCGGAGUUGCUAGUAACCGUAGAUCAGCAACGCUACGGUGAAUACGUUCCCGGGGCUUGUACACACCGCCCGUCACGUCACGAAAGUCGGUAACACCCAAAGUCAGUGGCCCAACCGUAAGGA
rnacentral:rRNA from 1 species